rnacentral:rRNA from 1 species
UACGUAGGGUGCAGGCGUUAAUCGGAAUUACUGGGCGUAAAGCGUGCGCAGGCGGUUUCUUAAGUCAGAUGUGAAAGCCCCGGGCUUAACUUGGGAAUUGCGCUCGAAACUACGUGGCUGGAGUGUGGCAGAGGAAGGUGGAAUUCCACGUGUAGCGGUGAAAUGCGUAGAGAUGUGGAGGAACACCAAUGGCGAAGGCAGCCUUCUGGGCCAACACUGACGCUCAUGCACGAAAGCGUGGGGAGCAAACAGG